AUGCACUUGCACUCGGCGAACCCCCGUGCUUGGCGAGUUGCUGACUCCAGGCACCAGACCUGCCUGCCACCACUUGUCACUGAAGGUAAUUUGAGACUCGGUGAGGAAAAGAGACAUGCCUGCGGUCAUCCCAGGAAUGUGUUAUCUCAUGCCAUCCUCUCAACAACCUACAGUAUCAGGGAGCUAAAGCACGUGGAUGGGAUAACCUGCUCAGACUCUCACUCAGCUCAUGAGACAUGGAGCCUAGACCCAGAUCAAUGGCACCGUGACCUGAACCAGCCAGCCGCCCAAGUCACCAGGCUGAAACCACCGAGAGCUGGCACGCCAAGGAUGUUUGCUGAGGAGGGGAACACAGAAAUAAAACCUGACUUUAAAAAAGAAACAUGCCCCAUAGGUAUACUAUUUAUAUGAAAAUCAGCUGUGAUUUUAGUAACUGCCCUCCCACCUCACCUCUCCAAGGUGUGCCCUGCCUUCCCACAGGGCGCCUCUACACCCCACACACCCAGUAAUCAUGGCCCUAUCUGCCCCGUCCCCUCCUCUGUUUGCUCUCUGGGGUUUCCCUCGAUUGCAGGGUGAGAGUUUCCAGACGCCCCAGGGGCCUGUCCCCUGCCUGGCCCCAGACUCCCUCUCUCCCUCCCUGACCUGCCCUCGUCCGGGCCCACGGCCCGUGGGGUGGCAGAGGGGCAGGGCAGGGAGUCAGCCCCUUAACUGAGCCAGAGCAGGGCAGAUCCAGGGCCCCUGGCUCCAGAUGCCAGGCCCUGCUCCUCCCAAGUCUCUGUUGAGCCGCAGGACCCUAUUCCCUAGUUCAGACCAAACUCAAGGUCUGCAUGGCACGGUAAUGGGAAUGGGGUUUUGGGAUCAGGCUUGGGGUUCUCUGGCUCCUCCUGGGCUGCCGGCAUCUAGCCAGCUCACCUACCUCCCACCCUCCCCCAGCCUCAGACCCCUCCCUGGCCAAACGGAGCCACACCUGCUGCACCAGUCUGCUGAGGGCCACACCACGAGGCACGGAAAGCACAGGGCUGGCCAUUCUAGCACCGGCGCCGUGUGUGAAACCUGGCAGGGUGAGAAAUUGCAACUGGAGAGCAGCCACUCCAUGCUUCCUGUGCGCGCAUCAAGAAUCAAGCUCCAGGCACUUCCCUGGUGGUCCAGUGGUUAAGACUCUGCACUCCCAAUGCAGGGGCGUGGAUUCGACCCCUGGUCAGUGAACUAAGAUCCAUCAUGCCGCAUGGUGCAGCCUAAAAAAAGAGUGAAAAAUAACACAUAAUCUUUUUUAAAGGUUGUCUUUAAAAAAGAAGAGAGAAAGAAUCAAGCCCAGGGCACCCCCGCCCUGGUUCUGUGAGCCUCUUCCUCUAGUCUCACCCUCCCCCCCUCCAUCAGCUCCCUCAUCCCAGAGUCCCACUGGGCACUUAGG
rnacentral:lncRNA from 1 species